AGUGAACGCUGGCGGCAGGCCUAACACAUGCAAGUCGAACGGCAGCACGGCAGUAGCAAUACUGUGGGUGGCGAGUGGCGGACGGGUGAGGAAUACAUCGGGAUCUACCCUGUUGUGGGGGAUAACGUAGGGAAACUUACGCUAAUACCGCAUAAGAACUGAGGUUGAAAGCGGCGGACCGCAAGGCGUCGCGCGAUUGGAUGAACCGAUGUCCGAUUAGCUAGUUGGCGGGGUAAAGGCCCACCAAGGCGACGAUCGGUAGCUGGUCUGAGAGGACGACCAGCCACACUGGAACUGAGACACGGUCCAGACUCCUACGGGAGGCAGCAGUGGGGAAUAUUGGACAAUGGGCGGCAAGACCUGAUCCAGCCAUGCCGCGUGGGUGAAGAAGGACCUGUGUAGUACGUUCGUUCGUACG
rnacentral:rRNA from 1 species